GGAAAACUUACCAGGUCCAGACAUAAUGAGGAUUGACAGAUUGAGAGCUCUUUCUUGAUUUUAUGGGUGGUGGUGCAUGGCCGUUCUUAGUUGGUGGAGUGAUUUGUCUGGUUAAUUCCGUUAACGAACGAGACCCCUGCCUGCUAAAUAGCACGCAUAGUGUUUAUCACUGUGUAGUGCUUCUUAGAGGGACGUGCGUUCUAUUAGACGCAGGAAGAUAGGGGCAAUAA
rnacentral:rRNA from 1 species